GUGCUCAUUUCGUUAGCACAUAUACUAAAAUUGGAACGAUCCAGAGAAGAUUAG
rnacentral:snRNA from 1 species